AUGCGAUAAGUAAUGUGAAUUGCAGAAUUCAGUGAAUCAUCGAAUCUUUGAACGCACAUUGCGCCCGCCAGUAUUCUGGCGGGCAUGCCUGUUCGAGCGUCAUUUCAACCAUCAAGCCCCGGGCUUGUGUUGGGGACCUGCGGCUGCCGCAGGCCCUGAAAGACAGUGGCGGUCUCGCUGUAGCACCGAGCGUAGUAACUAAAACCUCGCUAAGGCUGCUCUGCGGGCUCCGGCCGUAAAACCCCCUUCUAACACAAGGUUGACCUCGGAUCAGGUAGGAAUACCCGCUGAACUUAA
rnacentral:misc_RNA from 1 species